rnacentral:tRNA from 5 species
GGAUCGUUAGCUCAAUGGUAGAGCGCUCGCCUGCAGAGCGAUAGGUUAUCAGUUCAAUUCUGAUACGAUCCU